CUCCAGAUGUUGCCAAGGCCCACAGAGAAGCCAAUCUGGGCCAGGAUGUACUGCAGCUUACUGUUCCAGGCCGGCCGGUCCUCUGCGUCCAGCUCCUCCUCCACCGCCUUCUGCUUGCUGCCUGCCUCACCAGCCACAUUCAGUACACUCUGCUUAUAGUCCACAGGCUCCUCGAGGGCCAGCAGGUCGGCCACCGACUCAGUGACAUGCUCACUGCUGUGCUCACGCUGGGUCACUUUGCUGUUCUUCGGCAUUGAUGCCACCUGGGCCGUGUAGCCCUGCUCCCCAGCACACAGAGAAGAUAGAAUUCAGCUGCUGUCAGCUCCUUCUCAUCCAGGGACCUAGGAAACCAGGAUCCCUAGGUGAUUUAAAAAAAAAAAAAAAAAGGCUCUUGAGCCAUCACCAGGGGGCCCCUGGACACCAGUGCCUAUGGCAUCUCCAUUCCCCUGGCUGGACUGGUUGACCAGGCUCAGCUAAAGAUUCUG
rnacentral:antisense_RNA from 1 species